GAUUUCUGGUUUGAUGUGCCUGUCCCAUCACGGUAACGUGUGUGAGUGACGGUGUAGAUCUGCCAUCCUUCUAGAUUCGGCAGGCUACUCUUUACUGAGCUGGUCUGUCUGUUCUAGAUCUUUUACUUUGAAAAAAUUAGAGUGUUUAAAGCAGGCUUUUGCUAUGAAUACAUUAGCAUGGAAUAAUAAUCUAGGACUUCGGUUCUAUUUUGUUGGUUUCUAUAACUGAAGUAAUGAUUGAUAGGGAUAGUUGGGGGUGCUAGUAUUGGCCGGCCAGAGGUGAAAUUCUUGGAUUCGGUCAAGACUAACUUAUGCGAAAGCAUU
rnacentral:rRNA from 1 species